GAUCAUGGCUCAGGACGAACGCUAGCUACAGGCUUAACACAUGCAAGUCGAGGGGAAACGACAUCGAAAGCUUGCUUUUGAUGGGCGUCGACCGGCGCACGGGUGAGUAACGCGUAUCCAACCUGCCCACCACUUGGGGAUAACCUUGCGAAAGUAAGACUAAUACCCAAUGAUAUCCCACGAAGGCAUCCGAAUGGGAUUAAAGAUUUAUCGGUGAUGGAUGGGGAUGCGUCUGAUUAGCUUGUUGGCGGGGUAACGGCCCACCAAGGCAACGAUCAGUAGGGGUUCUGAGAGGAAGGUCCCCCACAUUGGAACUGAGACACGGUCCAAACUCCUACGGGAGGCAGCAGUGAGGAAUAUUGGUCAAUGGGCGAGAGCCUGAACCAGCCAAGUAGCGUGCAGGAUGACGGCCCUAUGGGUUGUAAACUGCUUUUAUAAGGGAAUAAAGUGAGUCUCGUGAGACUUUUUGCAUGUACCUUAUGAAUAAGGACCGGCUAAUUCCGUG
rnacentral:rRNA from 1 species